rnacentral:tRNA from 1 species
GGGGUUGUGGCUCAGUGGCAGAGCACUUGCCUCACACAGGAGGCACUGGGUUCGAUUCUCAGCACCACA